rnacentral:rRNA from 1 species
GAUGAACGCUGGCGGCGUGCCUAAUACAUGCAAGUCGAGCGAACGGACGAGAAGCUUGCUUCUCUGAUGUUAGCGGCGGACGGGUGAGUAACACGUGGAUAACCUACCUAUAAGACUGGGAUAACUUCGGGAAACCGGAGCUAAUACCGGAUAAUAUUUUGAACCGCAUGGUUCAAAAGUGAAAGACGGUCUUGCUGUCACUUAUAGAUGGAUCCGCGCUGCAUUAGCUAGUUGUUAAGGUAACGGCUUACCAAGGCAACGAUGCAUAGCCGACCUGAGAGGGUGAUCGGCCACACUGGAACUGAGACACGGUCCAGACUCCUAAGGGAGGCAGCAGUAGGGAAUCUUACGCAAUGGGCGAAAGCCUGACGGAGCAACGCCGCGUGAGUGAUGAAGGUCUUCGGAUCGUAAAACUCUGUUAUUAGGGAAGAACAUAUAUGUAAGUAACUGUGCACAUCUUGACGGUACCUAAUCAGAAAGCCACGGCUAACUACGUG